AUACGGGGGGUGCGAAGCGUUGUUCGGAAUUAUUGGGCGUAAAGCGCGUGUAGGCGGUUUGUUAAGUCUGAUGUGAAAGCCCUGGGCUCAACCCAGGAAGUGCAUUGGAUACUGGCAGACUUGAAUACGGGAGAGGGUAGUGGAAUUCCUGGUGUAGGAGUGAAAUCCGUAGAUAUCAGGAGGAACACCGGUGGCGAAGGCGGCUACCUGGACCGAUAUUGACGCUGAGACGCGAAAGCGUGGGUAGC
rnacentral:rRNA from 1 species